GUUGUUAUAAAAGUUCAUUAGUUAUAUGAAUGAUAUAUGUGUGUGCAUUACAGGCAAACUAAUUUGUGUCUUAUCAUAAUGAUUUAAUUCUUCAAAUAUGUAAUAAAUACGCUGAUAUUAUCAGCCAAAAUCGGGUAUUUGAUUUUUAUUUUAUUGCCCCUGAAUUGAUGCGUUAUUUUGCAGUUUUCAGCUAUUAUCUUGAAUAUUAUUAUAGGCAAAGAUAAACUAUCGACAAUAAAAGUGUUCAGCAAAUUAAGAUCUUCAAAUAAGUAUUGUGAUAAAAGUUGUCAAUUAACACCUUAAGAAGUUAUUGCCCCUUUUUUUCAAUUUGUACAUCUAGUUUGGUUACUUUGAAAAAUCUUCUCCUUUGAACUGCCUAACUUAGGCUAAAUGAGGUUCAGAGUAUCUAGUAUACAGUUUGUACUGUAUUUUAUUUUAGUCAAGAAACACAGUCAAGAAACAUAACCGCAAUGACUAAAAUGCAUUUUUUUU
rnacentral:lncRNA from 1 species